UAUUCUGUUUUGAAAGAUUUUCAUUCUUUCAAAAAUAAAAUUACAGAAU
rnacentral:tRNA from 1 species